AUUCAGUUGGGCACUCUAAGGUGACUGCCGGUGACAAACCGGAGGAAGGUGGGGAUGACGUCAAAUCAUCAUGCCCCUUAUGACCUGGGCUACACACGUGCUACAAUGGACAGAACAAAGGGCAGCGAAACCGCGAGGUUAAGCCAAUCCCACAAAUCUGUUCUCAGUUCGGAUCGCAGUCUGCAACUCGACUGCGUGAAGCUGGAAUCGCUAGUAAUCGCGGAUCAGCAUGCCGCGGUGAAUACGUUCCCGGGCCUUGUACACACCGCCCGUCACACCACGAGAGUUUGUAACACCCGAAGUCGGUGAGGUAACCUUUUAGGAGCCAGCCGCCGAAGGUGGGACAGAUGAUUGGGGUGAAGUCGUAACAA
rnacentral:rRNA from 1 species